CAACUACUCCCUCUGUCCCAAAUUUCUUGUCUUAGAUUUGUCUAGAUACGGAUGUAUCUAAUACUAAAAUGUGACUUGAUACAUCUGUAUCUAGACAAAUCUAAGACAAGAAUUUUGGGACGGAGGGAGUACUUU
rfam:Triticum aestivum genome assembly, contig: Triticum_aestivum_CS42_TGACv1_scaffold_645348_T_1AL-0.069640_7AS-0.062918